rnacentral:misc_RNA from 1 species
GGCAUAAUUGAUCGCUGGAAUAUCAUCUGAGCUCCAGUCUCUAGAAGAGCUUGGUAACCCUGCAGUUAGUACUCAGUACUCAGUAGCAACACAAACCAUCACGGAGCUCUGAGUUGUUUAUUUAUGUUAAUUCGUUAAGUGUCAAACAAUUUUUUCUAAGAAGAACAGAAGAACCUGAAGUGAGUUAAGAAUGAGUUCUCAGAAAUCUCAGGAACUGUGCUCCGCCUUACCUCCAGGAUGGAUCCGGGAAACCUCCCGGAGAACGAACGGAGUCUCAUCUGGUAGACUAGAUGUAUUCUACAUCAGCCCGGCAGGAAAGAAGAUUAGAAAUAAAAAUGAUCUCAUUAAAGAGAUCGGAGAAACCUUCGAUCUUUCCGGGUUCGAUUACAGCGCGGGCAAGAUGGGAUCCUCUCUCAUAAAGUCAGGACGGAGCAGAAAACCUUUGAAAAAACCUGUAACUGACGCAACCCUGACCACGAACCUAAAUAGUCUGAUAUCCCCAAUCCGUCAAACUGCGUCAAUUUUCAAGCAACCCGUGACAGUGUUUAAGACGCAUGAAACCCAGGUUAAGAAUAUAAAAUCAGAGAAAGAGAAACCUCGCCAACUCUUCUGGGAGAUGAGACUGAGUAAUAUAACCUCUAGCAACGUGGACGACGAGUUGUUUGAGAUGAGUCUGCCAAGGAGGAUUAAAGAAUUAGAGUGUUUACAGGGUCAGACUAGUAAUAGCACUCUUCUAGCUUCCAUUAGUACUGCACUGCAUCUAGACAAGAAACCAGUUUUAGGACAGAAAAAUAUUCCUGAAGAGAAGAACCCUGUUUUAUUCCUGAACCCUGAGCAACCAUUCGUGGCCGACCUGGAGGUAUCCGAUCUCGAGAUCAAAGAACAGGAGGAGAAGGUCAAGGAAGCAAGGAAUAAGCUCGCCCUAGCAGUAAAAGCACUCGGAUAAACUGAGUAACCUCGCUGGGUCACCAUUAACUAAGCUUUCGGUGUGUUCUGAAGUAAUUUGCAGUACACUGACCAAAAAUAUUUAGUAGCUUUUAGUGGAGAGUGGGGUAUACACAAAACGGAUAUUUUUCAAUCAACUUUAAGAGAUCUUGUGUUCCAAGCUCUGUUAUCUUAGUUGUAGUUUUAUGCAUAUUGUACAGGGAAUCUUUACAAACAUGGGAACUUGUUGAUGAAAUUUAAUGAAUCUUAAAAUGCUGAUGAAAUGUUCUUAAUUGUACAAAAUUAAUCGCGCUUUUUUUGUCGUUCUCCUUUAUAUGUUAAAAGAUUAUGGAGAUAUCAUAAGUCUAGGAUUAUCAGUUACAUUUCAAAAGAAUGAAAUUAGGAUUCAUAUAAUUAUAUUAUGUUAAAUAGGAAAUACUGCGGUGUUCAAAACGAUAAAUUAAAUUUCUUCACAUAAUUUUCAUGUUCCUAAGGACUUUAAUAAAGAUAAGGAACCCCCAUAAUCUACGUGUACAAAAAGUUAUGUCAAUAUUAAAUGGGGUUUCUUUUGUUGAUUCCUUUUUAAGGACUCUCUUCUUAAACAUUUUUAAAUCCCAGACAUUGUGAAUAUUUGCGUCUUUCUUGUGUUUUUCAGUUAAUAAAUAUUUUAUACUACUAGAAAUA